rnacentral:rRNA from 1 species
UACGGAGGGGGCUAGCGUUGUUCGGAAUUACUGGGCGUAAAGGGCGCGUAGGCGGUGCGAUCAGUCAGGCGUGAAAGGCCCGGGCUCAACCCGGGGACUGCGCUUGAUACUGUUGCGCUGUGAGUCCGGGAGAGGAUGGCGGAAUUCCCAGUGUAGAGGUGAAAUGCGCAGAUAUCGGGAGGAACACCAAUGGCGAAGGCAGUUCUCUGGGCCGUAACUGACGCUGAGGAGCGAAAGCGUGGGGAGCGAACAGGA